GGGGAAUUUGGANAUGGGCGCNUUCNGAUCCAGCCAUACCGCGUGGGUGACNAAGGCCUUCGGGUUGUAAAGCCCUUUUGUUGGGAAAGAAAUCCAGCUGGCUAAUACCCGGUUGGGAUGACGGUACCCAAAGAAUAAGCACCGGCUAACUUCGUGCCAGCAGCCGCGGUAAUACGAAGGGUGCAAGCGUUACUCGGAAUUACUGGGCGUAAAGCGUGCGUAGGUGGUCGUUUAAGUCCGUUGUGAAAGCCCUGGGCUCAACCUGGGAACUGCAGUGGAUACUGGGCGACUAGAAUGUGGUAGAGGGUAGCGGAAUUCCUGGUGUAGCAGUGAAAUGCGUAGAGAUCAGGAGGAACAUCCAUGGCGAAGGCAGCUACCUGGACCAACAUUGACACUGAGGCACGAAAGCGUGGGGAGCAAACAGGAUUAGAUACCCUGGUAGUCCACGCCCUAAACGAUGCGAACUGGAUGUUGGGUGCAANUUUGGCACGCAAUAUCGAANCUAACGCGUUANUUUCNCCCCCCUGGGGGAGUACGGUCNCAANACUGAAACUCNAAGGGAAUUGACCGGGGCCCCCCCAAGCGGGGGGAAUNUGNGGUUUAAUUCNAUGCCACNCGAAAAAACCUUUACCUGGCCU
rnacentral:rRNA from 1 species